GUGUUGUAUGAAAGAAGAGGUUAGCACCCUUCUUGAGAAUGGAAGAGGCCCUCAGGCCUGCACAGCACAGGGACGGUUAAGGCUUUGCCACCUACUUUGUAGCAUUUAAUCAUAGAUUUUU
rnacentral:ncRNA from 1 species